GGGGCUGUGGCUCAGGGGUAGAGCGCUUGCCUAGCACGUGUGAGGCCCUGGGUUCGAUCCUCAGCACCUCA
rnacentral:tRNA from 1 species